UACGGAGGAGGCAAGCGUUAUCCGGAAUUAUUGGGCGUAAAGCGUCCGCAGGUGGCACUUCAAGUCUGUCGUCAAAGACUGGGGCUUAACCCUGGAAAGGCGAUGGAAACUGAAGCGCUAGAGUGUGGUAGGGGUAGAGGGAAUUCCCGGUGUAGCGGUGAAAUGCGUAGAGAUCGGGAAGAACAUCGGUGGCGAAGGCGCUCUACUGGACCACAACUGACACUCAGGGACGAAAGCUAGGGGAGCGAAUGGG
rnacentral:rRNA from 1 species